GAGAGAGAAAGAGAGAGAGAGAGAGAAAAAGAGGAAAAGAGAAAACAGUGGGAGAAACGAAGAGGCAGACGCCCUCAUCGAGGGCGCGCAAUUGCACCUUCUUCUUCUUCUUCUUCUUCUUUUUCUUCUUCUCUCAUUAUUCUUCAUCAGCCUCGUCAUAUUCUUUGAGAAUCAAUCGAGGAUUCUUCUUCCCUCUUUCGCGAGUCGUGCCUCGCUUGAAGGUGCCUCGAUCGUCGGGACCCUCGCGUGUAUAUUUUCUCUAAUAUCGAAAUCGAGAGAUAGACACCAUAAAUAGAAAAAUAAAGAAAGAAAGAUAGAAAGACGUGUGAUCGUUCGUAGUGCAGUGCCUCGUUCAUGUGAACACGAUGAUAACUACUUCUAUUGCUAUUAGCCCUACUAUCUUUGCUACUAUUAGGACGGCGACAAAGACGACGACGUUUUGCUCGCUCACGCGAAAAGUUUGUGAUAGUCGAUGACAGCGACGCCAUUGCUCGGAUUAAACGAAUACAGACGGCCGAGGAUCGUGUUCCGGGAAUCGUCUUGAUUGGAAGAUCCGGUGAUCCAAGGACCACAAUAUUCGAGCCAACAUGCCAAUCGGAUGCCAGGGAUGAAGAAGAUGUAUCUCUAUUUGUAACUAAUUAAUAUGUUACUUAGCUAGUUGAAUUAGUAAGUGAUUUGUUAUCCACAUAUUCUUGGUGACUGUGAAACACUAACGUGAUUAGAGAAUUCGUAUCAUCGAAUCGAAGCGCGAGUGAAUUUUGUUUUUUCUUUAAUUACCGUGUUUUCGUAAGCAAACAAACAAACAAAAAACAA